rnacentral:tRNA from 1 species
UUCGAAAUAGCUUAUUUAAAGCAUUGAUUUUGUAAUUCAAAGAUGGAUUUUCCUUUCGAAU